rnacentral:rRNA from 1 species
GCUUAUGGCCACACCGCCUGGUUCACGGCUGAUCUCGUUUGAUCUCGGAAGCUAAGAUAGGGUGGACCUGGUUAGUACUUGGAUGGGAGACCGCCUGGGAAUACCAGGUGUUGUAAGAU